GUAACACGUAUGCAACCUACCUAUAACUGGGGGAUAGCCCGAAGAAAUUCGGAUUAAUGCCCCAUAUGCUCGUACGGCCUCAUGGUCGAGCGAGGAAAGCUCCGGCGGUAAGAGAUGGGCAUGCGUCCUAUUAGCUUGUUGGUGAGGUAAUGGCUCACCAAGGCUACGAUAGGUAGGGGUUCUGAGAGGAUGAUCCCCCACACUGGUACUGAGACACGGACCAGACUCC
rnacentral:rRNA from 1 species